UACGGGGGGGGCUAGCGUUGUUCGGAAUUACUGGGCGUAAAGCGCACGUAGGCGGCUUUGUAAGUUAGGGGUGAAAGCCCGGAGCUCAACUCCGGAACUGCCUUUAAGACUGCAUCGCUUGAACGUCGGAGAGGUAAGUGGAAUUCCGAGUGUAGAGGUGAAAUUCGUAGAUAUUCGGAAGAACACCAGUGGCGAAGGCGACUUACUGGACGACUGUUGACGCUGAGGUGCGAAAGCUAGGGGAGCAAACGGG
rnacentral:rRNA from 1 species